CCUACGGGAGGCAGCAGUGAGGAAUAUUGGUCAAUGGACGAGAGUCUGAACCAGCCAAGUAGCGUGAAGGAUGACUGCCCUAUGGGUUGUAAACUUCUUUUAUAUGGGAAUAAAACGUUCCACGUGUGGGAUUUUGUAUGUACCAUAUGAAUAAGGAUCGGCUAACUCCGUGCCAGCAGCCGCGGUAAUACGGAGGAUCCGAGAGUUAUCCGGAUUUAUUGGGUUUAAAGGGAGCGUAGGUGGAUUGUUAAGUCAGUUGUGAAAGUUUGCGGCUCAACCGUAAAAUUGCAGUUGAAACUGGCAGUCUUGAGUACAGUAGAGGUGGGCGGAAUUCGUGGUGUAGCGGUGAAAUGCUUAGAUAUCACGAAGAACUCCGAGUGCGAAGGCAGUUCACUGGACUGCAACUGACACUGAGGCUCGAAAGUGUGGGUAUCAAACAGGAUUAGAUACCCCAGUAGUC
rnacentral:rRNA from 1 species